UUCUUCCACUUGGAGAAAGAUUUGAGAAAAAGGGGAAGACAAAGGAUACUAUACUAUAGGAGCCAGACUAAUUCUGCUAGAGGAUGAGGUGACACAUACAGAUGGAGGUCACAAAACAGAACUAAGCUGUAGCCAGAAAUGUUCCUAUUUUGAAACAUUGAAAAAACUGUGUAUACUUAUUAGAAUUUCUUUUUAACAAGGUCAUUUAUG
rnacentral:lncRNA from 1 species